AUGAUUGAUGCAAUGCAACACCAUAGGUUUAAAAGAAUCAGCGUAACAACUCUCAAGCUUUCAACCAUCACAUUUCCUUCUGAUUCAGUAUAUGUUUCGAUGAAGAAAGAAGAGCGAAAAGACACUCACAUAAUGGAGAAUUUUUGGUGCACCUUCAUUGUGACGAUUACGCAAGAAACCAAAAAAAAAAACUUGCCGCGAGAUCUAGAUGAAUUGAAGAUUUGA